UACAGAGGAGCCAAGCGUUGUCCGGAUUGACUGGGCGUAAAGCGCACGCAGGCGGACGCGCGCGUGGGGUGUGAAAUCUGGCCGCUUAACGGCCAGGCGCCAUCCCAUACGGCGCGACUGGAGUGAUGCAGAGGUCGAUGGAAUUGCCGGUGUAGUGGUGAAAUGCGUAGAGAUCGGCAGGAACACCCAGGGGGAAACCAGUCGACUGGGCAUCUACUGACGCUGAGGUGCGAGAGCGUGGGGAGCGAACCAG
rnacentral:rRNA from 1 species